GUCUGUAGUCAUUUGAAAGGGGAGAAGCUACUGAAUCGAUUGGCAUCAGUCUUUCCAAAGACUACAUUUCCCAGCUUUGCAAAAAGCCGGGCGUAAAGUGUUCGUAAUCUGUGCGCUUUUAGGUGCAGCGCCCCACAGACGAAGGCUGUGCUGCAUCGCACACUGAUCACUCAGGACUCUCCUGUAAACUUUCUCCACCACUUAUAAAACUUCUCUUGAGUAUCUCUUGAGUAUCUUCUGUAUUAAAUAGGAAAGUAAUACAAACCUCAAACUGAACCUCAAAGUGUCUUAGAUUUUCUGUCACCUCUGAUUUCAUCCAGCUGUCACAGACCCUGGUAUAGAAUUCAUGUUUUGUGGCAGCAACUGGCUACGAGAGGUGUAACACUCAGCAGUCAUACAGACAGAUACAAAUGCAAUCAGACAGAGACACAUAGGGCUCUAUUUUCGUGUACGCCGGUGAGGCGACGGAGGGUGGCGGACCCCGCGCAGUUGUAUUUUCGUCUGGCGGAGCCCGGCGUACAGCCAGUUUGGUAUUUUCGUGGACUGAAGCACACGGAGGCGAACCGAGAUCCGCCAAGCUGGGCGUGGUGGCGUGGCAGGGGGAGGCGUCGACAGAAUCAGCGGGCGCAGUGAUAUUUUCGUGCUCGCUAGUGGCGUGUAAAGUGCGCUGAAAGCUCGCCAAUUCAAACCUGGUCAGCUUUCAGCGCAAGCGAAACGCAGCUGGUCUAGAGGUAUUUUGGUAGACCGGCGGCGUAUCGGCAUACGUCACCAAUGCCUCACCGGCAGGUUUCAGGAUUCAGUUAUCGAGUUGAUAACCGGCUUCGUAGUACAGCUGAUCGGGAUCGCGGAGAUCCGGUGAAGUUUAGCGAGUUGUCGCAGAGUUAUCCUGGAUGUGUUAAUCCAGCUUCGUAGUACAGGCCUCAGACCCCAUAUCUUUGCUUCUGUUAGAGCUAUAAUCAUAAUAUUGGUGUCAAAGUGCACAUUUUUGGGGUCUAGGAAUUCAAUUAAAUAGGUUUCAAUGCAAAAAACCCAAUGCAUCAUUUACUACCAUGACAACGGGGGAUAAAAUAUGCAAAUUUCAUUAUAAAAUGUACGUUUUAACAGGGUAACUUACCCCCCACCCCUCCCCCUAGACUGAGAUUUACUUUUCCUUUGGCAUGGAAGAACCUUAGGGCCAUAGGAAACAUUUUAUCCAAAGAGACAACUUAGAUCACCCUUCAUUUAUUUUAUAGCCAUUUUAAAAAUGGCCGCCGACAAUAAACCGCUAAUACACCAGACCCCAUAUCUUUGCUUCUGUUAGAGCUAUAAUCAUUAUAUUGGUGUCAAAGUGCACAUUUUUGGGGUCUAGGAAUUCAAUUGAAUAGGUUUCAAUGUAAAAAACCCAAUGCAUCAUUAAUUACCAUGACAGCGGGGGGGAAAAUAUGCAAAUUUCAUUAUAAAAUGUACGUUUUAACAGGGUAACUUACCCCCCACCCCUCCCCCUAGACUGAGAUUUACUUUUCCUUUGGCAUGGAAGUACCUUAGGGCCAUAGGAAACAUUUUAUCCAAAGAGACAACUUAGAUCACCCUUCAUUUAUUUUAUAGACAUUUAAAAAAAUGACCACCGACAAUACACCACUAUUGCACCAGACCCCAUAUUUUCGCUUCUGUGAGAGCUAUAAUAUUAAUAUUAGUGUCAAAGUCAACAUUUCUGGGAUCAAGAAAUCCAUAUGAAAAGGUCUCCAGACUAAAAAAUAUAUAGUCUUCUCAUUACCCUCACAAUGGGGGUAAAAUAUGCACAUUUAAUGAACAAAAUAAGUGUCAAAAAGGUGACUUUAAAAAUGCCCCCCUAAAAAAGAAAAAGAAAAAGAAAAGAAAAAAAGAAAAGAAAACAGCCUCUUAUGUACUCUUUGGGCUCUAUUUUCGUGCCUCGCUGGAGACGUGCCGCAGGCGCAGCGUAAGUCAGGUCCGCUGCGCCGACAAGGCGUUCCCACGCACAAUUUGGUAUUUUGGUGAGCGGCGCAGCCCGGCGUAAGUAUCCCCCCUCCCUAACUCAGCUCCUCCCAGCGGCGUAAGUCGUAGGAAGGGAGGAGAGAGGGCGUGGAGUGGGUUUAACACAGCCGAGACCUGUUUUCACCAAUCACAUAAGCUCCUCUCCUCGCCUUUAAAUCCGCCACCGGCGAGGCGUAGUACAAUUUUCGGGAAGUAGUUAAAGAGAUCAAGAGAUGUCUGAAGACAGUUAUGCCACACGGUGGUGACAGAAGGCAGCUCCUCAACAAGUGUCACUGUAAGCGCUGCAUUGGGCGUCCUCCACACUCUCUCAUCUGAGCACAGAUGGAUUUGGUGUGUGUAAUGUUGGACCCACUGGUAAGACAAACACCCUUUUCCACAAAUAAAGACACUCACAUAAAGUUCCAUAUACUCAAACCUCACGUGACAAAGGUGGGUUGAGCGCACAGAUCACAACAUUAACUCCAAAAAUGGCAUUAAAAUCAGAACCAUCUGUGCAUAAAUGACGCAUUGCGCUCAGUGGCCUGGCUCUUUCUUUCAUAGACGUUGGCAUAUAAAAUAAAUUUGGCUCACAAAACUGAAUAUUGUAAUAUCCGCAUGUAGGCUUAAAGUAAAUAACUCAUCUGGGGCCUUAUGUAUCAAUACUUGCGUGGAACUCAUACCAGAAACGAGCGCACGCAAGGUCAAUAAUGCUGAAAAAAAUCCGUAUGUAUCAAUGUGUGCGGGCGCCGAAAUCCACGUGUGUUUCCUUGAUAAAUCCCAAUCAGCGUGGAAUUGAGCGCAGAUGUCGGAGUGACUGUGCCCGUCCCCGUUACGCCCUCCUAUAAAUAUGCAGAUUUAUUUAAAUAGGGUCUCCCUGUCCUCGCACGCAGACAAAAUGACAAGAAAAACUAAAUUUACGGCGUGCGAGGUGGAGGUGCUGGUGGCGGAGGUGGAGGAGCGACAGCGUGUUUUGUUUGGCAGCCUGUCCAGUGGCGUCAGUGCAAAACAAAAACGCUUGGAGUGGGAGAAAGUUUGCGAGAGGGUGAAUGCGGUGGGUUCCGAGACACGCACCCCCGCGGAGAUUAAAAAAAAGUGGUCGGACCUCAAGGUGGAGGUCAAGCGGCGUACAGCUGCCCUUCGGAGGAGUACUGGCCAGACAGGUGGGGUUCCGGGGGAGGAGACCCUCACGCCGUUUGAGCAGCGGGUGGUGGUGAUUAUUAUUAUAGGGUAAGUGGCGUGUCACACAAAUGUCCACAUGCUUUGUCAUCCCACUGAGCAAAAGACGUAUAUUAGACGUCUAGUCUAAGUUUAUACUUCAUUUCAACAUCGGGAUUCAGUCUAUUUUUAGACGUGAUUUAUACUUCGCCCUUAACUUAAUUUUUUGAUAACUUUUUAUGCAAUAAACAACUGUAAUGUGCAUAACUGACCUCGAAAUACUGGAUUACAUUACCUAUGAUACCGUGGAGAGAGAUGUAAACGCAACAGAUACACAGAAGCAGGAAUUGAAAUGAACAAAUAUUUUUAUUGUGUCACAGAAAUCAAUAUGUCGGCCGUGUCGCCGGCUUGCGGAACCCCGGCCCGCGGCAGCCCGUCCGCCGGCUCGGAGUCGUCGGCCAGGACCAGCGGCAUUCGGGCCACCCCGGCCCCCGGCCCCAGCACCAGCACCAGCAUCAGCACCAGCGCGCCGACAAGCGGUGGAGCGUCCACCAGCCGCGGCGUUUCCGCUGGACCACCCGGACGCAGUGGAAGGGUCCUCUCGAAGGGGGUCCUGCAAUCGCAGGAAGAAAUCAUCAGGGGGAUCGCGGGGAUCAACGAGCGGCUGGACCGGCUCGUAAAUGUCCUCGAGCGUCUGGUGGAGAAAAUAAAUUAAUUUGGCUCAUUGAACUGUGUAUUCACUUCUUACCCAUUCACACUGUGGCGAUGAGAUUCUCCCGCGCGAGGACGGCGGCCCGGCAGGGAUCAGCUCGCAUCCCUCCGUCUGCUGCUGGUUCGUCAUGUGGGGCGACGUGCUGCUCGGCCACGGGGAUGUGGUGCACGCUUGUCACAUAGUGAGUCACCAAACACCGCCACACAGCGUCGCCAAAGUGCGAAUCACAGUCAACGCAAGUAUCAGCUCAACGCCAAUUUCUACACCACCUCCUGACUUUGCGUUGAUUAGCGCUGGAACCGACGCUCGUUUCGCGAUGAUAAAUCUGGACGUGUGCGCCGAUUUUGGCGUACGCAAGGUUUUCUUGCGCCGCAAGCGUUGAUACAUAAGGCCCCUGAUCACUGAAACAAAUCAUCUGUUCAGUCGCUGCAGCUGCAGCAGGACGGAGAGAGGACACGGAGACAUGUCCAGGUCGAGCUGCGCGAGAAAUAAGAGGAAGAAAGAAAUGGAGGGAGACGAAUCACAUAUCUUGUUAACUUCAUCAUGUGUGUUUAUUUACUUGAUAUUGAAUUUAAUGCGGUUUCAGCUGUGUUGAUUCGGUCAGGUUGUGUGUCGAAACGCGUGCCAAACGCGCUCAUCAGAGCAGAUAUAGAUCAGAAUAUAUCGAUAUAGAUCUAAAUGUAUGUGCUAACUCAGAUUAUUAGUUGUUGAUGAUUAUUUAUUGCACUGAAAUGUGCCUGACACUGUGGAAACCUGCCGGUGAGGCAUCGGUGACGUAUGCCGAUACGCCGCCGGUCUACCAAAAUACCUCUAGAUCAGCUGCGUUUCGCUUGCGCUGAAAGCUGACCAGGUUUGAAUCGGCGAGCUUUCAGCGCACUUUACACGCCACUGGCGAGCACGAAAAUAUCACUGCGCCCGCUGAUUCUGUCGACACCUCCCCCUGCCACGCCACCACGCCCAGCUUGGUGGAUCUCGGUUCGCCUCCGUGUGCUUCAGUCCACGAAAAUACCAAACUGGCUGUACGCCGGGCUCCGCCAGACGAAAAUACAACUGCGCGGGGUCCGCCACCCUCCGUCGCCUCACCGGUGUACACGAAAAUAGAGCCCUAUGUGUCUCUGUCUGAUUGCAUUUGUAUCUGUCUGUAUGACUGCUGAGUGUUACACCUCUCGUAGCCAGUUGCUGCCACAAAACAUGAAUUCUAUACCAGGGUCUGUGACAGCUGGAUGAAAGCAGAGGUGACAGAAAAUCUAAGACACUUUGAGGUUCAGUUUGAGGUUUGUAUUACUUUCCUAUUUAAUACAGAAGAUACUCAAGAGAUACUCAAGAGAAGUUUUAUAAGUGGUGGAGAAAGUUUACAGGAGAGUCCCGAGUGAUCAGUGUGCGAUGCAGCACAGCCUUCGUCUGUGGGGCGCUGCACCUAAAAGCGCACAGAUUAAGAACACUUUACGCCCGGCUUUUUGCAAAGCUGGGAAAUGUAGUCUUUGGAAAGACUGAUGCCAAUCGAUUCAGUAGCUUCUCCCCUUUCAAAUGACUACAGACAUGGUUGACUUGUCUUUUUGGAUAAAAUGUUUCCUAUGGCCCUAAGGUACUUCCAUACCAAGGGAAAAGUAAAUCUACGUUUAGGGGAAGGGGUGGGGGGGUAAGUUACCCUGUUAAAACUUACAUUUUAUAAUGAAAUUAGCAUAUUUUACCCCCCGUUGUCAUGGUAAUUAAUGAUGCAUUGGGUUUUUUGCAUUGAAGCCUAUUUAAUUGAAUUCCUAGACCCCAAAAAUGUGCACUUUGACACCAAUAUUAUGAUUAUAGCUCUAACAGAAGCAAAGAUACAGGGUCUGGUGUAUUAGCGGUUCAUUGUCGGCGGCCAUUUUUAAAAUGGCUAUUAAAAACAUUUUUUAUGGUGAUCUAACUUGUCUCUUUGGAUAAAAUGUUUCCUAUGGCCCUAAGGUACUUCCAUGCCAAAGAAAAAGUAAAUCUCAGUUUAGGGGGAGGGGUGUGGGGGUAAGUUACCCUGUCAAAACGUAAAUUUUUUCAUGAAAUUAGCAUAUUUUACCCCCCAUUGUCAUGGUAUUUAAUGAAGCAUUGGGUUUUUUACAUUGAAACCUAUUUAAUUGAAUUCCUAGACCCCAAAAAUGUGCACUUUGACGCCAAUAUUAUGAUUAUAGCUCUAACAGAAGCAAAGAUACAGGGUCUGGUGUAUUAGCAGUUUAUUGUCGGCGGCCAUUUUUAAAAUGGCUAUUAAAAACAUUUUUUAUGGUGAUCUAACUUGUCUCUUUGGAUAAUUUAUUUCCUAUGGCCCUAAGGUACUUCCUUGCCAAAGGAACAGUAAAUCUCAGUUUAGGGGGAGGGGUGGGGGGGGGGGUGGGGGUAAGUUCCCCUGUCAAAACGUAAAUUUUUUCAUGAAAUUAGCAUAUUGUACCCCCCAUUGUCAUGGUAUUUAAUGAAGCAUUGGGUUUUUUACAUUGAAACCUAUUUAAUUGAAUUCCUAGACCCCAAAAAUUUGCACUUUGACGCCAAUAUUAUGAUUAUAGCUCUAACAGAAGCAAAGAUACAGGGUCUGGUGUAUUAGCAGUUUAUUGUCGGCGGCCAUUUUUAAAAUGGCUAUUAAAAACAUUUUUUAUGGUGAUCUAACUUGUCUCUUUGGAUAAAAUGUUUCCUAUGGCCCUAAGGUACUUCCAUGCCAAAGGAACAGUAAAUCUCAGUUUAGGGGGAGGGGUGUGGGGGUAAGUUACCCUGUCAAAACGUAAAUUUUUUCAUGAAAUUAGCAUAUUUUACCCCCCAUUGUCAUGGUAUUUAAUGAAGCAUUGGGUUUUUUACAUUGAAACCUAUUUAAUUGAAUUCCUAGACCCCAAAAAUGUGCACUUUGACGCCAAUAUUAUGAUUAUAGCUCCAACAGAAGAAAAGAUGUGGGGUCUGGUGUAUUAGCGGUUUAUUGUCAGCAGCCAUUUUUAAAAUGGCUAUUAAAAAAAUUUAAUGGUGAUCUAACUUGUCUCUUUGGAUAAUUUAUUUCCUAUGGCCCUAAGGUACUUCCUUGCCAAAGGAACAGUAAAUCUCAGUUUAGGGGGAGGGGUGGGGGGGGGUGGGUAAGUUCCCCUGUCAAAACGUACAUUUUUCCAUGAAAUUAGCAUAUUUUACCCCCCCACUGUCAUGGUAAUUAAUGAAGCAUUGGGUUUUUUACAUUGAAACCUAUUUAAUUGAAUUCCUAGACCCCAAAAAUGUGCACUUUGACACCAAUAUUAUGAUUAUAGCUCCAACAGAAGCAAAGAUACGGGGUCUGGUGUAUUGGCGGUUUAUUGUCAGCGGCCUUUUUUAAAAUGGCGAUAAAAAAUAAUUGAAGGGUGAUCUAACUUGUCUCUUUGGAUAAAAUGUUUCCUAUGACCCUAAGGUACUUCCAUACCAAAGGGGAUAUUUGUUGCAUGACUUGAAGUAAAAUGUGUCUUAGGGCCCUAACUAUUUGUCAGGCUCAAUUAAGGAAGCCUGCGGUAAAAUUCUUCCAGAAACGGCUCAGCCAGGGUGGUACAUAUUGGAUCAGGGAAGUCGUGAGUCAAACAGAGUAAAACAUCUAUCUCUUGCUAGUGCAGCUUCAGAAAUUCACUGUCACCCAGUCAGACAUAAAUGGUUCCAACAGGAGGUCUAAACGGUUUAUCAGAGCACUGCUCACCGCAGCCUCGGUUGUUGGCUCUUUUUUUGGCAUCAGAUUUUCCUCUGUUAAUGCAGUUAGCCUAGCUAUUGUCAAACACCAUGUGGCUAGAAGCUGAAAUUCUAGACAUCAGGGCUCAGAUUAGCAGACAGCAGACACAACUGCAGACUAUUGGUCUAACAGUCAAGGGCACUGUCCUUGCAGUCAAUACCCAUAGUGAAGUCCUGAACAAGACGCUGCAUGCUGUAAAUUCCUUGCUGUAAAUUCCUUGCUGUCAGUGGUCCAGGUUGACUAUGCUCACACACUGCUGUUGAAUAUGCUCAUGUCAGACAUGUUGCCAGAAAUAUCAACUGUAGACAGUCUUGCCAUGGUUGUUGCCCUCUACUGCCUUAAUCCUGAUCAACUUAAAACAGAGAUUGAAAUGCCAGUGUUUCUCAGCAAGCAUGCGCUCCAGGUAGAUCCUAGUAACAUCUCUCAGAUCUCAAGAGAAGCCCCAAUUCAACCCAUAAUCUACAUCUGGUCAUUCCCCAGACACCAUGUAGCUGUCAGUGUAGUGCUAGGGUACCUUCUGACCUUUGGACUAGCUCCCCUAGACGCCAAAUGUGGAAGGGCUCUACAGUACAUGAUAGAUCAAUGAAGCGCUAGGCUACAACUCCGUAGGCAGCCAGAACCUGAACAGGAAGUAAAUGAGGAAGAAAAGACUGUGCUAACAACUUGGUCAUGCUGUAGUUUGCUCCCUGUAACUUUGCAUGCUUAGAUUUAGUAGACUUAGCCUAUAUAGUAGACCUAGCCAGUGACGAACUCUGAACGAGACGCAUCAACCCUCCUUGGAUAAACUGCGGCUUCCAAAUGGUCGUCUCAUCUGAUCGUCCUAAUGGCCCCUGAAGCUGGGAUUUGUAGCCGAGACAACUGGUUUCUGCUUUUUCACCUUUAAUUCACCCUCAAAAGAAUGCAGUGACUAACCAAGAGGUGAUCUCGCAAAAGACAGACAGUCAAUCUUUUGCAUUUCAAGGAGACAAAGUUGUUCAUUUCCAGCAGGACCCCCAGACUGGAUAAACAUUCAACGCUCUGCUGUUAGCUGUAGACACUCAAAUUUGACACCUUAACCUUAAAGGUACCUUAGAAGAUCAUGGGAACUCAACUUAAGAGUGCAUCAAAAGCAUUCAUCUGUGAAACAUACCACAGCCAAAAAUCUUCAGAGUGGCUGUUUUUCCUGUGACCCUCUUUAGGUGCAGAAUAAAGAGAAUAACCGCAAAUGAUUCAAUCUCAGGUUUAAUGGACACUUCAUCAGGAUUCUCUAUCUGUACACCACUUCAGCAGUGAAACAGUGUUUGUCCCAUUUGUUAAGCAUGUUUCUAAGCCAAACUGCUUAACUAUUCCAGGUUUUUCAUGGACCAAGAUCUACCCCUAUUAAUUUUUUCUGAAUAUGAUUUUGGUCAGAAUCCAAAUACGUAUUCCUUGAAUUUAAUUGUGUUGCAUGUUAUAUACUUUGUAGCUCAGUGAAUGGUUUUCCCAAAAUAGGUUAGCAAUAUUAGGAAUAGUAACUGAAAACUCUUUUAUACGUGAGUUAAGAGUGUUUUGAUUGUUUAAAAUGCUAUGUUUGUCUACCCCCCCAAAAUUAUGCAAAAUUAUUUUCUUAAGUUAUUGGCGCAAAUUAAUCUGCGGUAAAGCUAAUCCUGAACACCCGGAGGACCGACCAGUAUCAAUUGCUGACCAUAAGGUUCUGGAAGAGGAGCUCUGAAGUAUCCAUGGGGCACCUGUGCUGUGUGCUUGGGUGUGACAUCAGAUCCAGUGCCGGCAGAGAACUUCUUGCCGAAUCCAAGUACCCAACUGGUAGCCUGGACCUCUGGCUCAUCUGCUCCAAGAUUACCCGCUGUUAUCAAUUAAGUAGGCAAACCUUUGACACUCUUUGAAGAAUCAGGUAAUAUGUCAAGCGUUCAGUGGCUUAUAAUUUUAAUUAUAGUUUAGUUUCUCCAAAUUCCUCUUCCAAAUUUAUUCCCGUUACCCCGUUAACGUAGUUUAAAUUUUUCCUUAUUCACUCACUAUCAUUAACCUCCAGUCUUAGCUCAAUUCAAACCAUUCCUUCAUUUAUGCAUUGGGUGUUCUUUUAUUUUCUCAUUAUUUGAUCAUCAUUUAUUGAAUUUAUGUAAUCACCUAGCAUUUGUCAAUGAAGUAUCGAUUUAACCUUAAGUUGUCGUCUCUUAGUGGUCCUUCCAGAAGUGAAGUCCCUGAAAUGAAAAUUCUGGCCUCAGAUGUGAGAUUGAUUUAAAGCUGUUUAAAACUGAUUCAACAUCUGAUUACCUAAUUAAACUUUGUUUUUCAUAAUUUCAUAAUUUAAUUCUAUUAUUUUGAGACAUUUAUUAUAAAUUCAAAUUGCUACAUUUAUAAAUUCCGUAUGCUAUCCUAUGCUUACUUACCCAGUGUUUAUAAAUGAGGCCCCCGAUAUCUCCAUAAGUCAGAAUUAAUCUUUACUCCAUUACCAUAUGUCUGCCUACUCACUUUUUAGCUCCCUAAAAAUCACUACAGACAGUUUUCUUUUUUUUCUGAGCUGAUGUCAUGACUUUGAAUAGCCGCUGUGAUCAGUCCUGUGACGGCUCCGAGGGUAUUUAAUCACAACCACACCUGCAGAUCAGUAAAGGCACCUGCACUAGUUCAUGCUGUUCUGCUCUACUCAUGAAACCAAAAGAAGGAGAACAUGGAGAAGCACGGGGAGAGUCUUCAGUCAGAGGUUAGGGUUCAAAUUUCAGGUCAGAGCUCAUGAUGUCAAAGUGAGUGAGCUCCAUAACUUUAUUUACUCUGACCUCUUUAUACACCCUGAUCCUGCUGCAGGUCCUCUGCUCCUGGUUCAUGAGCUGAUGGUUUUUGAUUAAUCAUGAUCAAUUCUACACAGUUUUCUUAUUUCAGACUUGGUGGAUUUUCUGAAAUCAGGUAUUUUAAACACUUAUUUUUCAUGGUUAUAAUCUUAAUCUACACUUUGAUAAUCUGUGCUAACCUGCUGAUCAUUGUGGUUAUCUGUAUGAACAGAAGCUUACAUGAACCUAUGUAUAUAUUUCCAUGCAGUCUGUUUGUUAAUCAGCUGUUUGGUAGUAAAGGGUUUUUCCCUCUCCUCCUGGUUCAGAUUCUCUCUGACAGUCACUCUGUGUCUGUGAAAUCUGCUGAUUUUCUGUGUUUAUUCAUAUUUAGGAAACAAAUUUUUCACUUUAGCAGCUAUUUCCUAUGACAGAUAUCUUGCUAUCUGUUAUCCUCUGCAGUAUAACGCUCUCAUGACAUUUAAAAAGGUUUCUGUCUUGAUUACGGUGGCAUGGGUUAUUGCUUUUCUUCUGGUUGUUGGUUUAAUGUCCUUGAGUUCUUCUUUGCAGCUGUGUGGGAACAUUAUCAACCAUGUUUUCUGUGAUAAUUAUGUGAUUGUCAAACUGGCCUGCUCUGACACCAUAGUAAAUAACAUUUAUGGUCUUGUUAUGGCUGUGAUCAUAGUAACUGUCCCCCUGGUUUUCAUCUUUUACACCUACAUGAGAAUCCUUAAAGUCUGUUAUUCUGGUUCCUAUCAAACCAGACAGAAAGCUGUCAGUACCUGCACACCUCACCUGGGGCCUCAUGUAUCAACGCUGGCGGCGCCAGAAAACCUUGCGUUCGCCAAGAUCGGCGCACACGUCCAGAUUUAUCAUCGCGAAACGAGCGUCGGUUCCAGCGCAAAGUGAGGAGGUGGUGUAGAAGUUGGCGUUGAGCCGAUACUUGCGUUGACGGCACUUUGGUGACGCUGUGUGGCGGUGUUUGGUGACUCACUAUGUGACAAGCGUGCACCACAUCCCCGUGGCCGAGCAGCACGUCACCCCACAUGACGAACCAGCAGAAGACGGAGGGAUGCGAGCUGAUCCCUGCCGGGCCGCCGUCCUCGUGCGGGAGAAUCUCAUCACCACAGUGUGAAUGGGUAAGAAGUGAAUACACAGUUCAAUCAGCCAAAUUAAUUUAUUUUCUCCACCAGACGCUCGAGGACAUUUACGAGCCGGUCCAGCCGCUCGUUGAUCCCCGCGAUCCCCCUGAUGAUUUCUUCCUGCGAUUGCAGGACCGCCUCCGCGAGGACCCUUCCACUGCGUCCGGGUGGUCCAGCAGAAGCGCCGCGGCUGGUGGACGCUCCACCGCUUGUCGGCGCGCUGGUGCUGGUGCUUGGUGCUGGGGCCGGGGGCCGGGGUGACCCGAAUGCCGCUGGUCCUGGCCGACGACUCCGAGCCGGCGGACGGGCUGCCGCGGGCCGGGGUUCCGCAAGCCGGCGACACAGCCGACACAUUGAUUUCUGUGACACAAUAAAAAUAUUGAUUCAUUUCAAUUCCUGCUUCUGUGUAUCUGUUGCGUUUACAUCUAUGGCAUGUGGAUAUUUGUGUGACACGCCACUUACCCUCCGGCAGGCUGUCUGAGUUGCCGCGGGUAGCAGUGACAAUCCCCCCCACAGAGGCGCCCCCCAUAAUCGCCACCACCCGCUGCUCAAACGGCGUGAGGGUCUCCUCCCCCGGACCCCCACCUGUCUGGCCGGUACUCCUCCGGAGGGCAGCUGUACGCCGCUUGACCUCCAUCUUGAGGUCCGACCACUUUUUUUUAAUCUCCGCGGGGGUGCGUGUCUCGGAACCCACCGCGUUCACCCUCUCGCAAACUUUCUCCCACUCCAAGCGUUUUCGUUUUGCACUGACGCCACUGGACAGGCUGCCAAACAAAACACGCUGUCGCUCCUUCACCUCCUCCACCGCCACCAGCAUCAGCACCAACACCAUCACCAUCACCUCCACCUCGCACGCCGUAAAUUUCGUUUUUCUUGUCAUUUUGUCUGCGUGCGAGGACAGGGAGACCCUAUUUAAAUAAAUCUGCAUAGUUAUAGGUGGGCGUAACGGGGGCGGGCCCGGUCACUCCGACAUCUGCGCUCAAUUCCAAGCUGAUUGGGAUUUAUCAAGGAAACAUGCGUGGCUUUCGGCGCCCGCACACCUUGAUACAUACGAAUUUUUUUCAGCGUGACGGACCUUGCGUGCACUCGUUUCCGGUAUGAGUCCCACGCAAGUGUUGAUACAUGAGGCCCCUGGCCUCUCUGAUAAACUUCUCUUUUGGGAUUUGCUUUUUAGUUGUUCAGCUCAGGCUUGAUAUGAGUAAUGUACCAACUCUGCUGCCUAUAGUAUUAUCUUUGUACCUUCUUACAUGUCAACCUCUGCUAAAUCCUGUAAUGUACGGCCUCAAAAUGUCAAAAAUCCUCAAUAUACUCAAAAGUCUGUUUUGUUCUAAAGUUGCAAUUAUUCACUUAAACAUUAAGUGAGAAAAAAUUUCUAUCAAUGCCUGACAUUGACCUUUACCAUGAUGUGUAACAGUCACGUUCUGUUAAUCAGGGGUAUAACAUGGUCUUGAUAAUAACCAUAGACUGUAUAUAGAAUGGACAGAGUCUGCCUCCUCACGGGGUGAAGCCACUCCGAGAACAGCACCCUCUGUUGAUUGGCUGCAGUAUCGGUCAUAAAUCCCGCCUCCGCCGGCAAAGCUUAUGGGGCUGAGGACAAACUUUAGAAUUUAUUAAUUUAAUUUAUUACACAGAACAUAAAUUUUUCUCCCCCCUGCUUGUGAUGUUGACAUGUUGUUACAGAAAGACUGGUUUGUGCUCAAGUCCUCUUUUUUCUGUGAAGCUCCAUUUUUAAAAGUUAUUAGGGGGUUCAUGUUUUCUAUGAUUGACACCUGAUACAGCCUAUGGGCGUUCAGGGAUUGAGUAGCUCUCCCGGGGGGAUACGCUAUUGGGGAGAGCGUCAUCACAGGGACUCUCUGCGACUGCAAGGCCGAAUGCGGACAGCGCUACUGCACAGCACUGGUUUCAGGAAAUGAAGAAAAAUCCCGGAAAUACAGAGAGCUAUUUGGCUUCAAAUCCGUAUACAGGUGGUAGGCGGAACCAGGUUGUCCAUAGUAUAUACAGUCUAUGAUAACAAUGCAGAUAGAUGAGGUGAAGGUUAAUAAAGUUUAACUUUGCAUAAAUUCCAACUUGUCUCAUUCAGAUUUCAUUACUGCCUAUCUGUUAAAACUGUUGAUAGAAAAACAACUGUUCACUAUUCAAUUUACAUUUAGCCAGUCAGUCAGAUUUCAACUCAGUAAAGCUUAUACUAACGGUUUGGCACUUGAGAAAAAAGAGAGAACAUUUUUUUUCUGGCAUAAACUGCUGCUGUAAACUGCAUAAAUAAACUGGACUGAUGAACUGUGGUUUCUUUGUUCAAACAGAGUCUAGACCUGGGGUCCGUUUCACGUAGCAGGUUUAAUGGAAACUCAGAGUCUGUUAACCCUGAAAUCAGGGAAACUCUGAGUUUUCCGUUUCACAAAGGAGGGUCAGUUAAACCAGAGAGAGAGGGGUAACUCUAACCUGUUUCACAAAGAGAGGUAACUCAACCUCGCGGUCAGUUACCAUAGUAACAGACUCCGUGAACCUAACCUGCUCGGGAGCAGGUUUAACUCAGUAAACCCAGAGUUUCAGGUGAGGCAUCGGCAUUUUCUCGUUUUGAUCAUGUUUUACAUUAUCAAGUAAGUAUUAAGUGGCAGUUUGAUCCCUUAAAAAUGCUCUUUUCACACUCAAAAAUGAAUUUUCUCUCUUAUGAUGUUCCGUUAAAUGAUUAGGAAUAUUAAACUAACACACACUUUCACUCAGCAAACAGAAAGAGGGCAGAUGCCAGAAAAACGGGUGGUGGGCCAGCAGCCCCACCUUUAACGGAGGCAGAGUAGCUGCCCCCCCUCACGGCCGGUCCGGUUGCAACCCCCCCCCCCCCCGCCAGCAGCGAUCGUCGGACUGGUGUGUGUGUGUGUGUGUGUGUGUGUGUGUGUGUGUGUAUGGGGGGGGGGGGGGGGGGGGCGCGCUCCUCUGCCUCCUCUGUAAAAUAUGAUCAAAAUGAGAAAAUGCCGAUGUCUCACCUGUUUGCACAAUGUUUUUAUAUUUAAUUUUCAGCUGCUGCCAAGUGCGUUUUUGAUCGCUGGAUUGCACCUACAUAAAAUAAAUUAAUUUGCUCCAUGCAAGCAGUUUCCCCUGCAACAGUCUGUCAUUGUGAUUGCACAAGACUAGAUUUAAAGUUAUGCAUUGACGCGAGCAGCAAUUUCCCCCCAUGCCCUCUCCCUCUCACUUGCAGCUGCUGUAUUGCACUUUCUUUUAAAAACGUGCUGUAAUUUGCGUUGGCUUGCUGCUGCCCCCUCCUUCUCCCUGUUUCCAUUGGUUGAUCAAUGAAUCUGGGCUCCACAGAUGCUGGCUGUUUAUGUCUGGCGUGCACGUGCUUAACUCCAGGUCAAACUACUAGCCUCAAUGGGGCCCUAAGCAAAAUUUGAUUUUGGGGCCCUCUAUUUAUGCCAAUAAUAUUGAUUGUUGAUCCUUCACACACCUUAACAAAUCUCUGAGAUUAACAUUCCAUGACAUGCAAACAUACCUUUAUCUUGGCGUUUUUUCUCUUCUUCCUCUUUCUUUUCUCUGCUCCUGAAGGAUAUGUCCUUUUUUGCAACAUUGUUUCAGUACACAGAGUGCUUUAUUUUGAAAAUAGGCCUGAUGUUUCAUUUUGUGUCUGUGCCCGACUUCCUUUCCAGCACAGACUAAUCUGUGCUUAAAUUAAGAAGCAUGCUGAGACGUCCAGGAAAAAUAGAACCCUGGUGAUCGGCUGUGGAGUCCGCUGAGCCGCAGCUGAACGGAAAGUAGCUGGUGGAAAUUGACACAUGAACUUAAAUGGAAACAAUCUGCUGCUAUAGGCACAUACGACCUUUUCGCAGCUGUUCCAGAUAUGGUAGAAAUUGGGGAUAAGGCUCGGAGUGAACAGAUUUUGACCUGUGUAAUAGACAGAAAGGUAAGAAGAGCAAGAACACUAUGAAGUUCCUCACUACUCACUACUUCUUUAAAAAUCCGUUUUGUCAUACUAUUAUCCUGGAAAAAUUAAGUAGACUACAAUGUCAGGAGGAAAGGAAACAGGACACUAUUGCAGACCAAGGGGUUCUGAAAGUCACACCACAGGGGGAGCUGCUGAAUUCACAAAUAAAUAAAAGUUUAGAUACACAGAACCAAGCAGCUGACUGUAACCAAGUGAGUUAAUCUAUGCCCAUCUGUUGUUGACAUAAGUCACUGGGGUAUCUCAGUGCUGAUUGGUUAUCGCAACACAAACAUUUGCUUGAGUUGAGAUAUUUUUAACUCAGUGAAUAGGUGUUUGAAGCGAGUUGAGCAUUGGAUGCACAAAUUAAAAAAAGUUAAGUUAUUCCCACAACUAGGCCGCUCAAUUCACACAAUUCGCACCUUGCAAUUCGCAUCAUAUGUGACGCCUAAGUAUAAUGCACAUCUAAUUGCAUCUCUACAUUGACUUUACUUUUAAUUUACCCACAACAAUGAUUUUACUUAACCUUGGUGUAAACACAAGGUUAAAGACUGCUGAAAUCUUGGAAAGUCUGAAGGUAAUCAUGAGCUGUUCCUAAUGGCAGUGGUUUAACAGUCUUUAUUCUGGUCUUCUGCGGUUCCGAGGUCAAACUUGGUGAAAAUGGAAGCAUCCUGAAAUCCUGCAACAACAGAUAUUGUAGUUUGAGGUAGCAGCUCCUUACCAUGUUCUAUUUAAAAUACCUAUAAUUGAGUUCUUUAUUCAAUUAAUUCAAUAAAUGUUUGUUAAUAUAGCGCCACAUCGCCUCAUCAUUUAUUCAUUGCUGUGCCUGGGGACAUGCUGUUGCACACACAACACAACAAAGAGAGUCACAGAGGUGACAAUUGAUUGGCUCGGCUCGUGGCUUGUCUGUCAAGGCCACAGAUAUACACUACAGGCCAAAAGUUUGGAAGCAAGGCCAUUACAGGCCAAACAGUUGGGAGUAACUUCAAGCUUUUAUUCACAAUGCUUUUUUUAAAAUCCAGCAUGAGUUUUAUGUAUUUUGGGAUGUAUUUACUCCAUGAUCAGAUGUUGCUUUCAUGGAAAUGCACCAUUUUACUCCAUUUACCUUUAGAUAUACAUUGAUGUUAACAGACCAUUGCUAAAUAUAUGUCAGCAAAAGAUGAUAAGGGCUAAGUUUUAGGGUUGAAAACAUUCGCAAGAGUCACAACUUCAGUGCAAAAGCAAAAAAACAAAUCACGUUUGGAUUAUUCACUUCAACUUUUUGGCUUUUGAGAGUCUGCAUACAAAAAUCCUAAUAAAUCUCAACUGCGUUCAGACUACCCCAAAAAUGGCCAGAAAGAAGCAACUGAGUAAAGAAACAAAAGUACAGAUUUGUACAUUGAGGAUAGAAGGAUACACAGAAAGAGAAAUUGCAAAACGCCUAUAGGUGUUUAACAAAGGAGUCCACUACACUCUGAAGAGACUAGAGGAACCUGAAAGUUAUGAUGAUAGAAAAAGACCUGGACGAAAGAGAGUUACUACAAAAGCAGAGGAUAAACACGAAUCAGCAGUCUCUUUUUGAUUAACUUAAGAAAGCUUGGAAUGCAAUCUCUGGAACAUACCUUAAAAAACUUGGAACGAAUGCCUGGUAUAUGCCAGGCUGUUGUUAAAGCCAGAGGAGGUUACUUUAAAGAAAGUGAAGUCUAAGCAACAAUAACUCAAAUACCUAAUAAUUAUGGUCAAAAUGUCUUCUGAUAAGUUACUCUUUAACAAUAGUCAUGUUUAUUGUGUUGCAAAUUAUAUAUAUGAAACUAUGAUCUUUUUUUGUACAAAUCUGAUCUUGCUUCCAAACUUUUGGCCUGUAGUGUAUAUAUACGUGCCUACGUGGCAGCUAUCUUGGUGGGGGCAAUAUUGCCAUUAAAGGCUUUAGAUGUACAUGGAAAAUAAAUCAUACUCUGCUCAUUUCUCAAUCUAUUUUCAUGGGGUUGAUUUUAUUUUCAAUGCCAAAACAUGAAAUAUUAAUAUAGAUCAUUUGAUUUAUUAACUUAAAAAAACAAAUGUUUAAUCAAAUGUUCUGUAUUAAGAUAACACGUCUUGCCCUAAAACUAGUUGAGAAAUGAGCAAGAUAUGAUUUAUUUUCCAUGUACAUCUAAUUUAUUUAAUGGGAAAUAGGAAACAUUUUAUCCAAAGAGACAAGUUAGGUCACUCUUUAAUUAUUUUUAAUAGCAAUUUUAAAAAUGGCCGCCGACAAUAAACCGCUAAUACACCAGACCCCAUAUCUUUUCUUCUGUUGGAGCUAUAAUCAUAAGAUUGGUGUCAAAGUGCACAUUUUUGGGGUCUAGGAAUUCAAUUAAAUAGGUUUCAAUGCAAAAAACCCAAUUCAUCAUUAAUUACCAUGACAACGGGGGUAAAAUAUGUUAAUUUCCUUUUAAAAUGUACGUUUUAACAGGGUAACUUACCCCCCCCACCCCUUCCCCUAAAUGUAGAUUUACUUUUCCCUUGGUAUGGAAGUACCUUAGGACCAUAGGAAACAUUUUAUCCAAAAAGACAAGUCAACCAUGUCUGUAGUCAUUUGAAAGGGGAGAAGCUACUGAAUCGAUUGGCAUCAGUCUUUCCAAAGACUACAUUUCCCAUCUUUGCAAAAAGCCGGGCGUAAAGUGUUCGUAAUCUGUGCGCUUUUAGGUGCAGCGCCCCACAGACGAAGGCAGGAUGCUGCAUCGCACACUGAUCACUCGGGACUCUCCUGUAAACUUUCUCCACCACUUAUAAAACUUCUCUUGAGUAUCUCUUGAGUAUCUUCUGUAUUAAAUAGGAAAGUAAUACAAACCUCAAACUGAACCUCAAAGUGUCUCAGAUUUUCUGUCACCUCUGAUUUCAUCCAGCUGUCACAGACCCUGGUAUAGAAUUCAUGUUUUGUGGCAGCAACUGGCUACGAGAGGUGUAACACUCAGCAGUC